rnacentral:lncRNA from 1 species
AGAGACAUGGAUGACGACCAGACUCCAGACAGACCUCGAUCUGGACGAGGCAGUAGAGGACCUACUAGAUUGAAGCGUCUUGCAUUGAGACGUGCUGCUGGUGAGAAGACACAUGUUGACAUUGACGUCAACACUGGAGUGGCUUUUGGUCCUAAGGCAGAUGAGUUUAUGAGCUAUCUUGGAGUUGUUUCACGUGAGAGGCUCUCCAUUUUGAUUAAUUCAUGGGAUGAGG